UACGUAGGCAGCAAGCGUUGUUCGGAGUUACUGGGCGUAAAGGGUGUGUAGGCGGUUCUUUUUAAGUUUGGUGUGAAAUCUCCCCGGCUCAACUGGGAGGGUGCGCCGAAUACUGAGGGACUAGAGUACGGGAGAGGAAAGUGGAAUUCCUGGUGUAGCGGUGAAAUGCGUAGAUAUCAGGAGGAACACCGGUGGUGUAGACGGCUUUCUGGACCGACACUGACGCUGAGACACGAAAGCGUGGGUAGCAAACAGG
rnacentral:rRNA from 1 species